rnacentral:lncRNA from 1 species
GUAUACUGACCUGCUGAAGAGCCUGAUGAAGCCAGAAUGUCGCUUACUGCUUGAUACACUAGUUUAUGAUGAGACAAAAUAUGCUGGACCUCCACACUAUGUCCCUGGGGAUCAGAUCAGCGAGUUAUAUGGUGACACAUGCAGUGUGGAGAAGGUUGACAUUGUUGACAGCUUUCAGGAAAGACACAAGAAAUGGGGAAUCGGCUCACUUGAGGAAAGGAUUCAUCUGAUCAUCAAAAAAUAGUCCUGUCAAUGAACCGCUCUCUUUAGAGGUCAUAGUGGACAGGUGCCGAUAAACAGAUAUUGUAUUGUACAUGUAUUAUCUACAGAGGUCACACUAGACAGGUUAUAUAAACAGAGGUCAAUUGGAGAUGUACUAUUAAGCAGUCAAAUUAGACAGGUUAUAUAGUUAAUGUCACGUUUGAGAUGUACUAUUAAGAGGUCGCAUUAGACAGGUUAUAUAAACAGAGGUCAAUUGGAGAUGUACUAUUAAGAGGUCACAUUAGACAGAUUAUAUAGUUAAAUGUCAUGUUAGACAUGCACUAUCAACAGAGGUCACACUAGACAGGUUAUAUAAACAUAGGUCAAUUGGAGAUUUACUAUUAAGAGGUCACAUUAGACAGGUUAUAGUUAAAUGCCAUGUUAGACAUACACAUGCACUAUCAAGUGGUCACAUUAGACAGGUUAUAUAAACAGAGGUCAAAUUGGAGAUGUACUAUCAAGAGGUCACAUUAGACAGGUUAUACAGAAGUUAGAUGUUAAACCCUACUUUAAAAGGAUGUCCUGUUAGAUUUGUUCUUUGAUCAGACACUGAUAGACAGGUUCUAUAGUCAGAUGCUAUAAUAAAUGUAUAAUGAUAAUGAUAAAGCAGGAGUGAGAAGAGACAGGUUCUUGUAAGCAGGAGUGAGUAGAUACAGGUUCUGGUAAGCAGAAGUGAGAAGAGACAGACUGGUCAAUGUGGAAAGAUAAUGAGAAAUACUGGUCAGUGUGGACAGGUAAUGAGAAACACUGGUCAGUGUGGAAAGGUUAUGAGAAACACUGGUCAGUGUGGAAAGGUUAUGAGAAACACUGGUCAGUGUGGAAAGGUUAUGAGAAACACUGGUCAGUGUGGAAAGGUUAUGAGAAACACUGGUCAGUGUGGAAAGGUUAUGAGAAACUCUGGUCAGUGUGGACAAGUUAUGAGAAACACUGGUCAAAGUAGACAGGUUAUGAGAAACUCUGGUCAGUGUAGCCAGGUUAUGAGAAACAUUGGUCCAAAUAAACAGAAUCUUAGACUGCUUACUAUAACCGUAUUUUGUGAAACGUUUGGUGCUAUCAACAGGUUUGAAGAAACAAUGGUCAAUAAAGACAGGUUCUGGGAAACCAUGUUCAAUAUACUGAAGACAGUUUCUGGUACUAGAAACAGGUGUUAGGUGUUAGAAGCACUGGUUUCUGUAGACAAACCUUGGAAACCAUGUUCAAUAUAUUGAAGACAGUUUCUGGUACUAGAGACAGGGGUUAGAAGCAUUGGUUUCUGUAGACAGGUUCUGGUACUAUGGAUAGGUGUAAUAAUCACUGGUUUCUGUAGACAGGUUCUGGUACUAGAGACAGGUUUAAGAAGCACUGCUUUCUGUAGACAGGUUCGGCGAAACCAUGUUCAAUAUACUGAAGACAGUUAAUGGUACUAGAAACAGGUUUUAGAAGCACUGUUUUCUAUAGACAGGCCUGGGAAACAAUGUUCAAUAUUCUGAAGACAGUUUCUGGAACUAGAGACAGGUGUUAGAAGCACUGGUUUCUGUAGACAGGUUCUGGUACUAGAAACAGGUUUUAGAAUCACUGGUUUUUGUAGACAGGUUCUGAUAAACAGUAAGGGUAUGUACAAGCCAAUGCCAUGUGGUACAGAUGAAAAACACUUAUCAGUGCUGGACUUCAUAGAUAAUAAUGAUAUGUGAGGGAGUAAUACCAAUCAUUCUUUUAUUAGUCCCCUACUGGCGAAACCGGGGGACUAUAGGUUUCCUCUCCGUCUGUCUGUGUAUGUACAUACGUAGCACCAAUGUUUGUCAGCGCUCUAGCGGCUUCAUUCCUUGAGGGAUUUUGAUCAAACUUCACACAAUUACAAAGGACCAUAAUAUCUCGGGACAAGUUCAAGUUUCAGGGUUGUCUGGAUCAAGGUCAUCGUUACUAUUUUUAGAAAAUUCUUUGUCAGCGCUCUAGCGGCUUCAUUCCUUGAAGGAUUUUGAUCAAACUUCACACAAUUACAAAGGACCAUAAUAUCUCGGGACAAGUUCAAGUUUCAGGGUUGUCUGGAUCAAGGUCAUCGUUACUAUUUUUAGAAAAUUCUUUGUCAGCGCUCUAGCGGCUUCAUUCCUUGAAGGAUUUUGAUCAAACUUCACACAAUUACAAAGGACCAUAAUAUCUCGGGACAAGUUCAAGUUUCAGGGUUGUCUGGAUCAAGGUCAUCGUUACUAUUUUUAGAAAAUUCUUUGUCAGCACUCUAGCGGCUUUAUUCCUUGAGGGAUUUGGAUUAAACUUCACACAAUUACAAAGGACUAUAACAUCUCGAACAAGUGCGAGUUUCUGGGUUGUUGGGUCAAAGUCAAGGUCACCGUCACUUUUUUUAGAAAAUCCUUGUCAGCGCUGUAGUUAUUUAUGAAACGUCUUGUAUCAUUCCGAGUUAAAAGUUUAAUUUAAAAAGAAAGAAGGAAAGUCCCCAAGUACCAUUUGCUGUCUUUGCUUUGAGUUUGGAGAUAUUUUAAGGAAUAAACCACUUCAAAAAGCCCAGGUUUUAAGGUGCUGAGAAGCUGUUGUGAGAGACCACUUAAAUCCAAAGAAAAAUACAUUUCACUGGAACUAGGUGUGACUUUCUGGACUUUUUAAUGCUAUUUUUCCCGUGCAAUUCAUUACAUGCUAAAAUGUGUUCAAUUGUAUUCAUUUGUUAGGCAAGUAUUGAUUAAAGUUUACAUAUCCAUUGCCUGUUUUAAAAUACCUGCCAAAUAGCAGCAAUGAAAUGAGUCAUAAGGGUAAAAAAACAGGUCAAUUCAGUAAGGUAUGUACACUUUAAUGGCAUUUAAACUAUUAUAAUUUGUGUUUUUAUGCACUAGUAUGUCAUAAAUAUGGCGUAUUUUAAUAUAUGUACCCUUAUAAUGGUGAAAUAAUUUUUCAACUCAAUCCAGGUUGAUGCAGGUAUUUGGCAUAAGUUUAUACGUUGAUUUAUUAAUUGUUAUUGUUGAUUAAAAUGAUUUUUAUAAUGAG